UUAAGCGCCAGAACCGCAUUCUGCGGUUGACGAGGUGGGAGGCGAUCGAAAAUUCGGCGGAUGCCUCUCCGUCACGCUUCCAGGCGAAGCUGUCUGCUGAAAACUUCCGGGCAACCGGAUCGACAAAGGGGAC
rnacentral:ncRNA from 1 species